UACGUAGGUGGCAAGCGUUGUCCGGAUUUACUGGGCGUAAAGAGCGCGCAGGCGGUCGUUCAAGUCGCGUGUGAAAGCCCCUGGCUCAACUGGGGAGGGUCACGCGAUACUGAUCGACUGGAAGGCAGGAGAGGGUAGUGGAAUUCCCGGUGUAGUGGUGAAAUGCGUAGAUAUCGGGAGGAACACCAGUGGCGAAGGCGACUACCUGGCCUGUUCUUGACGCUGAGGCGCGAAAGCUAGGGGAGCAAACGGG
rnacentral:rRNA from 1 species